rnacentral:rRNA from 1 species
AUUGAACGCUGGCGGCAUGCUUUACACAUGCAAGUCGAACGGCAGCACGAAAGAGCUUGCUCUUUUGGUGGCGAGUGGCGAACGGGUGAGUAAUGCAUCGGAACGUACCGAGUAAUGGGGGAUAACUGUCCGAAAGGAUAGCUAAUACCGCAUACGCUUUGAGAAGGAAAGUGGGGGCUCUUCGGACCUCACGUUAUUCGAGCGGCCGAUGUCUGAUUAGCUAGUUGGUGGGGUAAAGGCCUACCAAGGCGACGAUCAGUAGCGGGCCUGAGAGGAUGAUCCGCCACACUGGGACUGAGACACGGCCCAGACUCCUACGGGAGGCAGCAGUGGGGAAUUUUGGACAAUGGGCGCAAGCCUGAUCCAGCCAUGCCGCGUGUCUGAAGAAGGCCUUCGGGUUGUAAAGGACUUUUGUUAGGGAAGAAAAGGAUAGUGUUAAUACCAUUAUCUGCUGACGGUACCUAAAGAAUAAGCACCGGCUAACUACGUG